GGUGGCGAGCGUUGCCCGGAAUCACUGGGCGUAAAGGGGGCGUAGGCGGCCGGACAAGUCAGACGUGAAAGCCCGGGGCUCAACCCCGGAAUGGCGUCUGAUACUGUCUGGCUUGAGGCCCGGAGAGGCCGGCGGAAUUCCCGGUGUAGGGGUGAAAUCCGUAGAUAUCGGGAGGAACACCGGUGGCGAAGGCGGCCGGCUGGACGGCGCCUGACGCUGAGGCCCGAAAGCGUGGGGAGCAAACCGGAUUAGAUACCCGGGUAGUCCACGCCGUAAACGAUGGGUGCUAGGUGUGGGGGGUUAAACCCUCCGUGCCGAAGCUAACGCAUUAAGCACCCCGCCUGGGGAGUACGGCCGCAAGGCUGAAACUCAAAGGAAUUGACGGGGGCCCGCACAAGCGGUGGAGCACGUGGUUUAAUUCGAUGCAAAGCGAAGAACCUUACCCGGGUUUGACAUGCUAGGGAACCCGGCAGAGAUGUCGGGGUGCCCAGGUUUUACCUGGGAGCCCUAGCACAGGUGCUGCAUGGCUGUCGUCAGCUCGUGUCGUGAGAUGUUGGGUUAAGUCCCGCAACGAGCGCAACCCUCGCCCUUAGUUGCCAGCGGUUUGGCCGGGCACUCUAAGGGGACUGCCGGGGACAACCCGGAGGAAGGAGGGGAUGACGUCAAGUCAUCAUGGCCCUUAUGCCCGGGGCUACACACGUGCUACAAUGGGCGGUACAGAGGGUUGCGAACCCGCGAGGGGGAGCUAAUCCCAGAAAGCCGUCCUCAGCUCGGAUCGGGGUCUGCAACUCGACCCCGUGAAGUCGGAAUCGCUAGUAACGGCGGAUCAGCAUGCCGCCGUGAAUACGUUCCCGGGCC
rnacentral:rRNA from 1 species